GGAGGAGUGUCCGAGUGGUUUAAGGAGGCGGUCUUGAAAACCGUUGUACUGAAAGGUACCGGGGGUUCGAAUCCCUCCUCCUCCGCCA
rnacentral:tRNA from 1 species